AGUGAACGCUGGCGGUAGGCCUAACACAUGCAAGUCGAACGGCAGCACAGUAAGAGCUUGCUCUUACGGGUGGCGAGUGGCGGACGGGUGAGGAAUACAUCGGAAUCUACUUUUUCGUGGGGGAUAACGUAGAGAAACUUACGCUAAUACCGCAUACGACCUACGGGUGAAAGCAGGGGAUCUUCGGACCUUGCGCGAUUGAAUGAGCCGAUGUCGGAUUAGCUAGUUGGCGGGGUAAAGGCCCACCAAGGCGACGAUCCGUAGCUGGUCUGAGAGGAUGAUCAGCCACACUGGAACUGAGACACGGUCCAGACUCCUACGGGAGGCAGCAGUGGGGAAUAUUGGACAAUGGGCGCAAGCCUGAUCCAGCCAUACCGCGUGAGUGAAGAAGGCCUUCGGGUUGUAAAGCCCUUUUGUUGGGAAAGAAAAGCAGCAGGUUAAUACCCCGCUGUUCUGACGGUACCCAAAGAAUAAGCACCGGCUAACUUCGUG
rnacentral:rRNA from 1 species